rnacentral:rRNA from 1 species
AUUGAUUUUAUGCUUGCAUAAAUGAUUUUUGGAUUCGGAGCGAGUGGCGAACUGGUGAGUAACACGUGGGUAACCUGCCCCGAAGCGGGGGAUAACAUUUGGAAACAAAUGCUAAUACCGCAUAAUUAGUCAGAACCGCAUGGUUCCGACUUGAAAGAUGGCUCUGCUAUCACUUCGGGAUGGACCCGCGCCGUAUUAGUUAGUUGGUGAGAUAAAAGCCCACCAAGACGAUGAUACGUAGCCGACCUGAGAGGGUAAUCGGCCACAUUGGGACUGAGACACGGCCCAGACUCCUACGGGAGGCAGCAGUAGGGAAUCUUCCACAAUGGACGAAAGUCUGAUGGAGCAACGCCGCGUGAGUGAUGAAGGGUUUCGGCUCGUAAAACUCUGUUGUUAAAGAAGAACAAGCAUGAGAGUAACUGUUCAUGCUUUGACGGUAUUUAACCAGAAAGCCACGGCUAACUACGUGCCAGCAGCCGCGGUAAUACGUAGGUGGCAAGCGCUGUCCGGAUUUAUUGGGCGUAAAGCGAGCGCAGGCGGUUUUGUAAGUCUGCUGUGAAAGCCCUCAGCUCAACUGAGGAAGUGCAGUGGAAACUACAAAACUUGAGUACAGAAGAGGAAAGUGGAACUCCAUGUGUAGCGGUGAAAUGCGUAGAUAUAUGGAAGAACACCAGUGGCGAAGGCGGCUUUCUGGUCUGUUACUGACGCUGAGGCUCGAAAGCAUGGGUAGCGAACAGGAUUAGAUACCCUGGUAGUCCAUGCCGUAAACGAUGAAUACUAGGUGUUGGAGGGUUUCCGCCCUUCAGUGCCGCAGCUAACGCAUUAAGUAUUCCGCCUGGGGAGUACGACCGCAAGGUUGAAACUCAAAGGAAUUGACGGGGGCCCGCACAAGUGGUGGAGCAUGUGGUUUAAUUCGAUGCUACGCGAAGAACCUUACCAGCUCUUGACAUCUUCUGCUAACCCAAGAGAUUGGGCGUUCCCUUCGGGGACAGAAUGACAGGUGGUGCAUGGUUGUCGUCAGCUCGUGUCGUGAGAUGUUGGGUUAAGUCCCGCAACGAGCGCAACCCUUAUUAUUAGUUGCCAGCAUUUAGUUGGGCACUCUAGUGAGACUGCCGGUGAUAAA